rnacentral:rRNA from 1 species
GUGCCUAACACAUGCAAGUCGAACGAGGGGGCAACCCCUAGUGGCAGACGGGUGAGUAACGCGUGGUCAACCUACCCUUGAGUGGGGAAUAACUAACCGAAAGGCUAGCUAAUACCGCAUAACACGUUUUGGGGCAUCCCGAGACGUUGAAAGGAGCAAUUCGCUCAGGGACGGGACCGCGUCCGAUUAGCUUGUUGGUGAGGUAAUGGCUUACCAAGGCUGCGAUCGGUAGCUGGUUUGAGAGAGCGACCAGCCACACUGGGACUGAGAGACGGCCCAG